UGAGCGGUGUGGACUCGAGGGGUAAUCCAUGCCAAAUAUUUAAGUUGCUAAAAGUAGGUGUUAUUUGUUUAUUUAUGUUUUGGGAAUAAAAGGCAAUGUGGUAGAUGUUAUGUUGGUUUUGUUAUGAUUUUUAGUUGUUCGCAUGCCUAUUAUGCUUAGGAAAUUUGUGGACUUUAAAUAUGAUGUUUGAGACUGUUAUUUCAGAAAUUUCGGUG
rnacentral:lncRNA from 1 species